ACGAAGGGGGCUAGCGUUGCUCGGAAUGACUGGGCGUAAAGGGCGCGUAGGCGGUUUAUUUAGUUAGGCGUGAAAUUCCUGGGCUCAACCUGGGGACUGCGUUUAAUACAGGUAGACUUGAGUGUGGAAGAGGGUUGUGGAAUUCCCAGUGUAGAGGUGAAAUUCGUAGAUAUUGGGAAGAACACCGGUGGCGAAGGCGGCAACCUGGUCCAUGACUGACGCUGAGGCGCGAAAGCGUGGGGAGCAAACAGGAUUAGAUACCCUGGUAGUCCACGCUGUAAACGAUGUGUGCUGGAUGUUGGGUGACCUAGUCACUCAGUGUCGUAGCUAACGCGAUAAGCACACCGCCUGGGGAGUACGGCCGCAAGGUUG
rnacentral:rRNA from 1 species